GCCGGGCAUGGUGGCUCAUGCCUGUAAUCCCAGCACUUUGGGAGGCUGAGGUGGGGGUAUCACUUGAGGUCAGGAGUUCGAGACCAGCCUGGCCAACAUGGUGAAACCCUGUCUCUA
ensembl:misc_RNA Metazoa_SRP Metazoan signal recognition particle RNA